rnacentral:rRNA from 1 species
AGAGUUUGAUCCUGGCUCAGAACGAACGCUGGCGGCGUGGAUUAGGCAUGCAAGUCGAACGAGAAAGGGGUAGCAAUACCCCGAGUAAAGUGGCGAACGGGUGAGUAACAGGUGGGUAACGUGCCCUAAAGUUGGGGAUAACUCCGAGAAAUCGGAGCUAAUACCGAAUGUGGCCGUUUGGACUCUGGUUUGAACGGUUAAAGGUUUUAAUCGCUUUAGGAUCGGCCCGCCCCUGAUUAGGUAGUUGGUGAGGUAACGGCUCACCAAGCCUGCGAUCAGUAGCUGGUCUGAGAGGAUGGUCAGCCACACUGGGACUGAGAUACGGCCCAGACUCCUACGGGGGGCAGCAGUCUAGAGGCUUCGGCAAUGGGGGCAACCCUGACCGAGCGACGCCGCGUGUGGGAUCGAAGGCGUUUUCGUUGUAAACCACUGUUCUAGGGGAAGAAUACCGCGAUGGUGAAUCGCGGGGCGACGGUACCCUAGAAGCAG